CAUGCAGGCGGUUAUACAAGUAGGAUGUGAAAGCCUGGGGCUCAACCUCAGAACUGCAUUCUAAACUGUGUGACUAGAGUAUUGCAGGGGGAGACGGAAUUUCAGGUGUAGCGGUGGAAUGCGUAGAUAUCUGAAAGAGCACCAAAGGCGAAGGCAGUCUCCUGGGCAAAUACUGACGCUCAUAUGCGAAAGCGUGGGUAGCAAACA
rnacentral:rRNA from 1 species